rfam:Homo sapiens chromosome 6, GRCh38 reference primary assembly.
GGCCGGUUAGCUCAGUUGGUUAGAGCGUGCUGCUACUAAUGCCAGGGUCGAGGUUUCGAUCCCCGUACGGGCCU